AUAUAUAUAUAUAUAUAUAGACUUAAGACUAUGAAUACUAUACAUAUUUAAAUAAAUAGUCAUUUUCAUAAAAUAAAAUGCUAUUCUUAAGAAAUACAAUUCGAUCGAAGUUUAAAUAAAUCAAACUAAAAUAAUUAAACUUGGUCAAAAGAAAUAAGAUUACAUAUAAUAACAUUUAUGAUUUUUUUUCAAGUUAAUGAAAUUAAAAUAUAAAAUAAUAAUAUUUAAAUUUAGAUCAAAUAUUAUUUUAAAUCAAAAUAUAAUUAUAUUUAAAACUAUUGUUUAUCCGUAUGGUUGCAAAAUUAUUGUUUAUGCGUAUGGUACAAAAUUAUUAUUUAUGCGUAUGGCGCAGAUAAAUUCUUAGUAUAUAUAAAUGCACAUAUAUAUAUAUAUACAUAUAUAGUCUUGUAUCAAACAAUAAUACAAUAAUAUUUCCUAUUCUAUAAUAUUUUACACAUUUCAUCUCUAAGGUCCAACAGAUUUUGAAAUUGUAAUUAUGAGCAAUUGAUGCUUUUUGACAAAGUGUUAACGAGAAAAUAGUGCAAAUAGACGCGGUAAGGAAUUAGUCCUUCAUAAAAUAGAAGCUAACAAAUUGCUUCAGCUAAUAAUUAUAUAAUAUGAUACACAAAUAUAAAAAAUGAAAGGAUAGACUCUCUUCUCAAAGCCUUCUUGGCACCACAAGACUGGGCAAAUAAUAAUUAAUUCGAGGAAAACAAAAACACAAGCUCCGAUGACCAUUAAAGUAGAAAUAUAAAUGAAUAGGAAAAAAUAUGUAAGAACAAAAUAAAAUAAAUGGAAAAGAAUAUUUAUUUCUUUGUUCCAUAUCAAUUUUGAUAAGAAAUGUUUUUGUUCUAUAGUUCCUUAAAAUUUAAAGAAUGACAAGAAAUCAUACACAGCAAAUAUUUCUCAUAAAUGAUAUAAUUUUUAAGUAAUGAAUAGGAAUUGAUUAUUCUCUUUAGUUCUCUAUGUCAUCAUUUAGACCUAAAGAAAAAACUAAAUUUAAUGAAGAUUAUUUCUGAAAAAAAAAUCUAAUGAGGUUUAAGAUGUAUUUUCUGCUGCAACUACAAUUAAUAAUUUUUUAAAAGUUAUGGUGAUGUAUUAAAUUUCUAAGAAGCCUCUUGAUAAAAAUGCAACAUAAGAAAGGAAAAACUUUACUUAUAAUUGUAUUAAAUAAUAGAAGCAUAAAAUACUUCAAAAUGUUUCUUAAUAUAUAAAAAAGUCAAAUUAUUUUUUCCAUGUAAAGAAAGCCUUUACAAUUGAUACAUCCACCACAGUUUUAACUCAAUUUCGAUAGAGAUAUUAGUUAGGCAGUCUUUUUGUUUUUGUUAGGAAACAUUUCAUCUUCCAACAGAUUCUGAAAUCAUAAAUUAUGAGAAAUUGAUAUGUUUGACAAAGUAAACGAAAAAUAGUCCUUGAUAAAAUAGAAGCUACGUUUAACUAUAAAUAAAUAAAAAUUAAAAGACUUUGUCUUUUCAAAGCCUACUUGGCACACAAGACGGGCCAAAGUUAGGUAAGUAUUUGGAAAGAAACAAAACACAUGAAAAACUUGAUGAAGUUUAAGAUGUAUUUUCUGCUGCGAGUCUGCGACUGUUCGAGUAACGCCACUUUCUUGGCGCUACAAGACUGUUCAAAAGUUAGUCAUCCGAGAGAAAACAAAACCCAAAGAAAAAGUUUAAGAUGUAUCUUCUGCUACUACUAUUCCAAGAACGUAACCUGUGGGAUUGUCAUUUCAAUUAUAACAAACUUGAUAACUAUUGUAGUAAGGAAAUAUAAUUAUAUUUAAGAUGGUUUCUCAGUUGCUACUAUUCUAGGCGUCGCCUAUAAAACUGACUUUACAAAUAUACUCAAAAGUUAAAACUGUUAAAAGAAAAAUAAUUCAAAAUGCUUACUUUGAGUCACCCUUGGACCCUUCGUAUAAGAUCGUCUCGCUGUUGAGAUUGCAGUUUAAGUCGCAUAAUUGUAAUUUAAAUGUAAUUCUAAACAUAAUUGUUUGUUAGUUUCUAUUUAUUUUAAUUGGUAUUUUUCUUUCAUAUAAGCUUACUAUUAAAAACACAGUUACCUUUUGCGCUUAAGGUUAAUAGUAACAACACUUAUCCGAAAAUAAUUUAUAGUAAAAAGGUAGAAUUUUUUUCUCACAUUCAAACACAGUUUAAGUAUAUUAUUUUUUUGUAAAGAAAUAUAAGUACAUAAAUUGGCAUUUGAAACGACCCAAUGGAAACAAAAUAUUUUUUCCAAGAAAACUAUAUAGUUGAAAGGUGUUACAACUUAAUUAGCAUUGUUAUUUUUCUCUACUCAUUCACAUCUGGUAUACAUAUUUUAUCAUAAAAAUCUACUUUCGACCUAUAUAAAAAGUACAACCAAAAGUCUAUAAAUACUGGCUUUCAAAGUUCAUAAGUCAUCACUUCUUAAGUCUUAUAACCAAAAGAAGAGAGAAAAAUGGCUUCAUCAAAUCUAUUAGCGAUUAAGCUUUUUUCAUUCAUGGUGCUAUUCGCAAUAUCCCAUGCUCAAUCCUUUUCUCCAGGUCGGAAAAUAUUGCAGUACAUUCCUACUACGAAGUAUCCCCCGGAGCUGCCACCGGCGUACUCUCCUACUCCGGAGCUGCCACCAUCGUACACUCCAACUCCGGAGUUUCCACCGUCGUACAAUCUUGCUCCGGAGCUCCCUCCGUCGUACUUUCCUACUUCGAAGUUCCCAUCAUCGUACACUCCAACGCCGGAGCUUCCACCAUCGUACACUCCAACUCCAGAGCUGCCACCAUCAUACACUCCAAGUCCGAAGUCACCACCACCGUCGUACAAUCCUACUCCUGAGUUCCCUCCAUCGUACUCUCCAACUCCGGAGCUGACACCAUCGUACAUGCCUACGCCAGAGCUUCCUCCGCCGUAUUUUUCUGCUCCUCCACCAGCGCCCUAUUAGUCCAAAUUAUGGCGGUCCAUGCAUGAGAAUUUAAAGUUGGUCACACACACUAUCACACAUGAAAUAAACAAGGAUAUUGCUUUUACAAUUAUCAAAAAAAAAAAAAUACUGUAUACUUCAUUUUGAUCACCCUUUGCUAGCGAAUAAAAAAUGUUACUCGAUGAUGUUUACCGUUUUUUCUGAUUUGUAUAAGGUUAGAGCAACUCUAUUGGUAAGAUACUAUUUUCAAAAAUGUUAAUCAAUAAAAUAUUAAAAAUUUAAGUUAAUUUAAUCAUGUUAUUAAAUUGAAGGACACAAACAAAAUUUAAACUAUGUAUAAGUAGAUAUGUAUUUGAGGACCUCUAUAGUAGAUAUUUCAAAUGGACAUAUAUACAUGAAUGUAAAAGAAAAAUAACUAAUAUGAAGAGAGAAAAAGAAAAAUAAGCUUUCUUCUGUGACUUAGAAAAAAGAUUUAUGGAAAAUUCAUAGAAACAUUUGUGUCUUUCUGAAUGGAGUAAAUUUUAACGAAAACUUAGGCAUAUAACUAAAUUAUAUUAAAAUAUUAAUAUUAUUUUGCUUGAGAAUUUUUAGAAGGUCCUAAAAAGUACUGAAGUUCUUACGAGAGUUUUCUAUGGAGUUUCCAGAUUUGUUAAAAUGAGAAAUUUAUUUCAUUUUUUUUUCAUUUCCAUAUUUAUUUAUAUUAUCAAGAAUACUUAAUUAAAAAUUAAUACCACCAAUAUUGUGGAUACUUUCAUCUAUUAACUUGAAUUUUAUAAUGGAAAAUAAUGGAAAAGUUCAAUAAAAAAAACUGCAACUAAUACCCGAAUUUUUUUGCUAUCUAAUUUAAUACCUCAACUAAUUAUUUUAUUCAUUUUAAUACACUAAUUUUUAAGGUGUACUUUUAGUACUGUAAUUAUGCUUAUCUCAAUCAAAUAUUGAUAAAUUUUAGGGAAAAUUUGGAUAAAUGCACUUCCAUGAGAAUAUAAUUUGAAAAAUACACCUUUGUUUAAACUUUUUGAAAAAUACACUUACUUAUAUAUAAAUUUACCAAAUUGCCCAAUCUUAAUAUUUUUGAAUUUCUAUUAAACAAUUUUUUAAAAAGAAAAUCGUUAGAGAAUAGGGAAUAUCUUUUUAAUAUACUACACAAUAUCCUUCCCAUAUCUUUUUAAUAUAUCUUAAAUUUAUUUUUUUAUUAUUUUGAAAAAACCCACCGAAUAAUGUGUUUUGGCGGCUACUUUUGAUGUUCAGUCUAUAAAUCAACAUGAGUUUCAGGUUAGUGAUGGGUCAAGAAAUUACUUGGUUGAUCUUCAACAAAUGAAUUGCACAUGUAAUGUGUUUAAUGUUGACAAGAUCCCUUGUAAGCAUGAUGCUAAGGCUGCAACAAGUCGAGGCUUUAACCCUGGGUUAUUUGUGCAUCAGUAAUACUCAAAGGCACACAUGUGUGCUGCAUAUUCAGAGAGUAUAAGACCCAUAGAUGAGUUGCUGGAAGCGAGUGAAAUACCUCCUCAUGUUGUGGCUUAUAAAUGCUUUCCUCCAGAUGUUAAAAGAGGUGCUGGAAGACCUGUGAAAAGAAGAUAUGAAUGCUUUGGAGAACAAGCAACAGCUCAAAAAAAAGCACGAAAACAAGCUUGCUCAAGAUGUCAUCGUUCAGGACACAAUCGUGCCAGCUGCGACUUUGGAAUUUGACAUUUUUCUGUUCUAAACGUUUUUCUUAAAAUUUUGGCUUUUGGUUAUUCUAGCUUUUGAUAACUGUUUAAGUUUUUAUUUUGCAAUAAGGUUGAUUAUUUUCACAACAUAUGUUAUGUUUUCCAUUUGUUCUACACCUUUAAAGAGCUAUGAUUCUGUUCAAGUUCGAUGUAAGUGUCGUUUAUGCGGCUCAAUGGACACCUUAUGUUUUUUCUUCCUUCAUGAUGAAUACAAAUUUGAUUAAUGAAGAAAGAAAAGAAUAUGUAGAAACAAAUGUGACUUGCUUUUGUUUUUAACAACGUGACUUGUUAUAUAAGUUGAAGAAAAUAAAAUAAAGGGAAAUUUGUAUAAACUUCAUGAUAAAGUCAAAACAAGUCAUAUUUCACAUAAUCAUCUUUGUUAUUGUAAAAUUUAAAUGGUAACAUAACAUAUUUAUCUCAAUAUACAUAUUUAUCUUAAACAUAAAUAAUUUUAAUGAUAUUAUUUUUAUUAAUUUCGAAUUUAUAUAUUAGUUUCGAAUUAUAUCUUGGGCAAAAAAGUCAAUUCAUAAUUAAGAAAGUGUAUUUUUCAAAAGGUAAAACAGAAAAUGCAAUUAUCAAAUUUCAAAUCCUAAAUAUGGUAUUUUGCAAAUUAUCCCU